rnacentral:rRNA from 1 species
UACGGGAGGCAGCAGGGGGGAAUAUUGCACAAUGGGCGCAAGCCUGAUGCAGCCAUGCCGCGUGUAUGAAAAAGGCCUUCGGGUUGUAAAGUACUUUCAGUCGUGAGGAAGGUGUUAAGGUUAAUAACCUUAGCAAUUGACGUUAGCGACAGAAGAAGCACCGGCUAACUCCGUGCCAGCAGCCGCGGUAAUACGGAGGGUGCGAGCGUUAAUCGGAAUUACUGGGCGUAAAGGGCACGCAGGCGGUUAAUUAAGUUGGAUGUGAAAUCCCCGGGCUUAACCUGGGAAUGGCAUUCAAGACUGGUUAGCUAGAGUCUUGUAGAGGGGGUAGAAUUCCAUGUGUAGCGGUGAAAUGCGUAGAGAUGUGGAGGAAUACCGGUGGCGAAGGGCGGCCCCUGGACAAGACUGACGCUCAUGUGCGAAAGCGUGGGGAGCGAAACAGGGAUUAGAUACC